AACGAACGCUGGCGGCGUGGAUAAGACAUGCAAGUCGAGCGCUGAUUUCAGGGUAGUAAUAUUCUGGAGUCGGAGCGGCGCAAGGGUGCGUAACACGUGGGUAAUCUGCCAUGAAGUUUGGGAUAACUUGCUGAAAGGCGAGCUAAUACCGGAUGUGAAAAUCGGAUGGCAUCAUUUGAUUUUCAAAGCUGGGGACCGCAAGGCCUGGCGCUUCAUGAUGAGCCCGCGGCCUAUCAGCUAGUUGGUGAGGUAACGGCUCACCAAGGCAAAGACGGGUAGCUGGUCUGAGAGGACGACCAGCCACACUGGAACUGAGACACGGUCCAGACACCUACGGGUGGCAGCAGUCGAGAAUUUUUCACAAUGGGCGCAAGCCUGAUGGAGCGACGCCGCGUGGGGGAUGAAUGGCUUCGGCCCGUAAACCCCUGUCAUCUGGGAACAAUGCUCAUCCGAUAACACCGGAUGAGUUGAUAGUACUGGAAGAGGAAGGGACGGCUAACUCUGUGC
rnacentral:rRNA from 1 species